rnacentral:lncRNA from 1 species
UUCAGUACCAGCAAAACUAGAGAAGAAAGUCUUCAUUCCCACUUCUUAAGUAGGUUUCCAGUCCCUCUUCCCCUUUUUCCUUUAUAUCUUCAGGGUGUUUUCUCUUGCUUUUGCUCAUUUUUUCUUUUUUUCUUUCUUUAUUGCUCCAUUUUAUCCUUCUUUGCUAUAAAAAAUGUCUUCUGAUGGUAGUAAGAUACGGGUAAAAAGGAGUCGGG